CUCUUUCUGGGCAUGUGGUAGUUACUUUCAUUCCCCGCCUUCCUUAAAGUUGUGGCUUACUUUGGCCAGUGGGAUGGGAAUGAAGGUGAUGUGUGUCUCUUUCAGAUGAAAGCAUUAGCCAGUGGAAGAUAGGAUCAAACGAACUUGCUUUAAACCAUACCCACGCAAUAGCCAUUGGGAAUGUGGAGCUAUGAGGACUAUUGACUGAAGAAUAAAUUCUCAUAAUCACAGCAAGAAGAAAAAUGGACAAUUACAAAUCAGUAUUUCUCUGGCUACAAUCCACAUGCUUUGUGGAAAAGCCAGCAACCCUCAAAUUCUUCCAAAGUAGUCCCAAAAGUUCCCAGGAAACUCUUGCUGUGCUCUGUAGCCAAAUCUUUUGGCUGCAUUAUACCAUCUGUGAUCUUCUCUGCUGCUCCAAAUCUCCAUGGCAAUGGCAAUGAACAAAGUAGCCACUCUUUCAACAAUGCACACCAGUGGUGUUCCUGCCACAAUACUGCAAUUACUGAGCCAAAAUGGCAGCACCAUUUGCCAAGGGCAAUGGCACCUAAACCAAAGCUUUGACUGUUGCAGGUAAGACAAACGCCCCCUCACAUUGUCAUGGAAGCUUCUAGCAUCAAUAUAGCAAUGCCAUGUAGUCUCAAAAAUCUUGUUUAUGUUAGUUUUUAUUCAUUUUUUCAUUCCAGGCCUCUUUGUCUCUGAGCUCAAAUAUGAGAUCAUCGCAGCUAGACAAGAGCAACAGGCAGAAAUGAGGCUAUGCUCAGAUUCAUCUUUACCCUCUGUCUUGGCAAAGAGCCUUGUGAUUUAAAUUCAUCUGCCUCUCCUUGUUUGAUUCAUCCAUCGGUAAAGUUCCUGGAGUCAACUUCAAAGGAAGCUAAGGUUGCCAGGAUACAUCCAGGCGACAAAGGCCAGGGCUCCUGUUACUAUAAGAACUCCUGCAAGAGUGAAUGUGAAUUGUGGCGCUCCCAGCUAUUCUGCUCCUGUUUCCAUCAGCCCCCUCCCUGAGGGGCUCAAGAGGCUGUGAUAAAAGCCAAAGUACCAAGGCAAAGAACAAAUGUCACAAGGUGAGGCUCUCAGGUGGGCUCUUUCUCUGUUGGCUGGUAGCUAAUCAGUCUCAAAUCUUACCUUUCAACUAAUAAUGGCUACUUAUUUCAGAUAAUCUUGAUCUCUUCUGCUUCCUUCUCACCAGUGUGUAGUAAAUAUUUCCUUGCUAUAGAAAAGGAAUUCAAAGAAAAAUAAUUACUCUUAAGUUCUUAAAUUGAAGUUCCUAAAAUCAAUGAAUUUGAUAAAUAUGUGUAACCACGUAACCCAUCACCUUAAUCAAGACAGGAUAUUUCUAUCACCUGGGAAGUUUGCUCACAUCCCUUCCAGUCAAUCUUCCCUCCACAGGCAACCACAAUUCUGAUUUAUAUUCCAUGAAUAAUUUGACUGUUCAUGGACUUUAUAUGAAUAGAAUCAUACAGUAUAUAUUCUUGUAUCUGACUUUUUUGGCUCAGGAGAAUGUUUUUGAGAUUCUUCCAUGUUGCUGUGUAUAUUACUAGUUCAAUUCUUUGCGUAGGUGAGUAUUAUUGCAUUACAGUAUUAUUCCACAUUUGUUUAUCUAUUCUUCUAUUGAUUGGUAUUUGGUUUGUUUCCAGAUUGGGUCUCAUAUAACUAAAGUUGCUAUAAACAUUCUUACACAAGCCUUUUGGUGGACAUAUGUUUUCAUUUAUCUUGAGUUCAGACCUAGAAUUGAAACUGAUGAAAGAUAGGUAGAUGUUUGUUUAACUUCAUAAUAGGUAUGAAAUGAUAUGUCACUGUGGUUACAAUUAGCAUUUCCCUGAUAACUAAUGAAGUUGAACAUUUUCACAUGAGAUUGUUGGAGAUUUAUAUCUCACUUUCAUUGAGCAUCUGCUCACAUUUUUUGCCCAUUUUAGAUUUUUUCUUUUUUAUAUGAUCUUUACUGAUGUAUAAUUUACAUACAAUAAAAUGCACUCAUUUUAAGUACA
rnacentral:lncRNA from 1 species